rnacentral:rRNA from 1 species
GAUGAACGCUGGCGGCGUGCCUAAUACAUGCAAGUCGAACGCAUAGCGAAAGGUGCUUGCACCUUUCAAGUGAGUGGCGAACGGGUGAGUAACACGUGGACAACCUGCCUCAAGGCUGGGGAUAACAUUUGGAAACAGAUGCUAAUACCGAAUAAAACUUAGUGUCGCAUGACACAAAGUUAAAAGGCGCUUCGGCGUCACCUAGAGAUGGAUCCGCGGUGCAUUAGUUAGUUGGUGGGGUAAAGGCCUACCAAGACAAUGAUGCAUAGCCGAGUUGAGAGGCUGAUCGGCCACAUUGGGACUGAGACACGGCCCAAACUCCUACGGGAGGCUGCAGUAGGGAAUCUUCCACAAUGGGCGAAAGCCUGAUGGAGCAACGCCGCGUGUGUGAUGAAGGCUUUCGGGUCGUAAAGCACUGUUGUAUGGGAAGAACAGCUAGAAUAGGAAAUGAUUUUAGUUUGACGGUACCAUACCAGAAAGCGACGGCUAAAUACGUG